GCAGCCCAGUACAAAUGUUAGGAAACUUUAGUGGGCCGUCCUCGUGAGUCAACACGCUCACUGGUGUUCUCCCUCAGCAGGUGUGUGAAUGCAAUGUACCUGAAAGACGUUAAUUGGUGAACCAAUUCUUACUAUGUAAAAUCAAUCAAUCAGUCAAUCAGAAAAAGAAAAUAUAAUUAAAAAGAAAAAUUGGAAGUAAGAAAGAAAAGGGAAAAGGAUGCUGCGCCGGAAGCCGCGGCGAGGAUUCCUUAUGAUGCUUGUGCGCGUCCCCGAGGCCCAUCGGUCCUUCAUCCAAGAACCGAUAAACGCGGUGACCGGCGCCUUCACGGCAUUUAUGAUUAAUUUUAUAAUCCAGUCUGGUAGUUUUAAGAAGCGAGUUCUUGCAUCCGCCCUAUUCGAAUCGGCGGGGCGGUGGAGCGCCAGCGAGCCCAAGGUCUCCCAGGCGAGCAUGGCAGGACUGACGGGCUCCCGGCAGGGCGCCUCGGCGUCCAUCGGGACCCCAACGGAGGUGCCGGAGAUCUUUCGGCUACAACGCCGGGCAGGUGGGGCUCGUUAGCCGUGGUAGGCAAUUCACCUAGGAGAGCAAACUCCGAACAAUAAACCCGGGCAGGUGAGGUUCGUUAGCCAUGGUAGGCAAUUCACCUAGGAGAGCAAACUCCGAACAAUAAACCCGGGCAGGUGGAGCUCGUCAGCCGUGGUAGGCAGUCUGCCUAGGAGAGCAAACUCCGAACAAUAAACCCGGGCAGGUGGAGCUCGUCAGCCGUGGUAGGCAGUCUGCCUAGGAGAGCAAACUCCGAACAAUAAACCCGGGCAGGUGGAGCUCGUCAGCCGUGGUAGGCAGUCUGCCUAGGAGAGCAAACUCCGAACAAUAAACCCGGGCAGGUGGAGCUCGUCAGCCGUGGUAGGCAGUCUGCCUAGGAGAGCAAACUCCGAACAAUAAACCCGGGCAGGUGGAGCUCGUCAGCCGUGGUAGGCAGUCUGCCUAGGAGAGCAAACUCCGAACAAUAAACCGGGGCUUGUGGUGCUCGUUAGAUGUCGUAGACAAUCCACGUGAUGGGAACACCAAAGAAAAGGAAAAUAAAAAGGAACAUCUGAAAAAGGAAAAUAUAGUAACAAAACAUCAAGAAAAUAAAAUAAAAAAUACAGAUCAUCCACCUUCAGGCCCUAACAUCUCUAAAAUUAUGGGUGAGUCUUUUCUGGGGAGAAAGAGGCUCAUCCAGACCAAGGAACAUCAAAAAGGGAUGAUAUAGAAAGGAACACCAAAAAAAUGGGAAAAAGAGAACAAAACAUCGCAAAAGAAAAUUAACAGCAAUAACAGAACAACGUCAAGAAAAGUAACAUACAAAGAAACAUCAUCCACCAUUCGGCCCCAAACUAACAUCACCAAAAUUAUGGGUGGGUCUCUUCUGGGAGGAAAGCGGCUCACCCAGACCAACGAAGAACAUCAACAAGAGGAUGAUAUGAAAUAAAAGAACAUUAAAAACACGAAGAAAAGAAAUAAGAAGAAAAAGAACAGAAAAAAAACAUCGGAAAAGAAAAACAAGAAGAAAAACACAUCAAGAGAAGAAAAAUAUAAGAAACAUCAUCCACCUUUCGGCCCCUAACUAACAUCACCAAAAUUAUGGGUGGGUCUCUUCUGGGAGGAAAGCGGCUCACCCAGACCAAUGAACAUCAACAAGAGGAUGAUAUGAAAUAAAAGAACAUCAAAAAAGAAAAACAACAGCAAAGAAAACAAAGAAAAAGAUAAAGAAAAGAAAAGGAAAAAGAAACAAAAAAGAAAAAGAAAAACACCAAAAUAAAAUAAAACAAAAACAAAAAAAUAAUCCAAAUAAAUAAAUAAAUAAACAAAUACAGAAUACAGUAAAAUUAACGAACUAACUAACUAAUUCAAACUGUCUAACUAUUAAA